UACUCUAUAGAGCCUGGAGGUGACAGUUGCUGCAGGCCUAAUUGGUGAACGCCUCUGAAGGUGUUUUUACUGGCGGAGCCUGAAACUUGCUAAAUAGUUGUCCUUUAAGGGUUUUGUUUGAGAGGAGAGGAAAAGUGCUGUACUUAACCGUACAAGGAUGGAGCAGCCACUUGCCUGUACAUCGUAAUUUCAGUUGUGCGAGGUUUCACUUUCAGGAAGCCUGAGAUUUGUGUCUGUGACAGUUUGUGAUUCUAUGCAGAUCCAGUGCCAGUGAAUCAUUCUCCCUGCAUAAGGAUAAGACAGCCACAGACGUCCAUUCUGUGUGGCCUGAGAUGACCUGCGCAAAGAAGAAGAACCACCUGCUGGCGCAACUACCUCGCCCUGAAGCUGAGGAGGAAGUGCAAUGCCACCAGCUGCUGCCUCCAAAAAGACCCUGGCACAAGUACAAAAAAACUGGACUGCACCACUCAGCUGAGGAAGACGAUGAUCACGGCGAGCAACAUCAAAGCACCAGCUGACCGUCCUGUCACGCGUUAACGUUACCGUCCACACUGUGUGUCGCUGUGGAUCAGCUGUUUAUCUACUAACUGGAAGGACAAUGUUGUGGAUGAAUGUAAAAAGAACCACGUUCAGCUCAACAAGAAUCAAUCAAACAAGACUUUUUGGUGACCUUCAGAAGAUUCAGAUCCCGAAUAUUUCUCUUUCCACCAGAGGAGAAACACAGUGGAAACUGAACAGGGAUUUAAACACGGGGCAGUAAAACUGCUACAGGACGAAAAACUCUGCUUGAAGAUCUACGGCCAGCUCAGCUGAAGCUCUGGGUCUGUAUGAGUGUGACACCAUGCUGUGGAUAUUUUAUGAGCCUGUGCCAUUUCUGUGCUGUGGUCUGAUAGGGCAGCUCAUUCAGCAGCAGCGAGGAAUCGCAGACGUUAACCGGAGCGUCCGUCAGACUCCAGCAGCCCUACGUCCUUGAGUUGGACAAGCAGUUAGGAAAAUGGAUGAAUCGCUUAAUUUUUAAGUUGACUAAAUACUAAAAAACAGCUUCUGAUUUCAGUUUAAAUAUUGCUUUAGGCUCGAUGUUGUUCCUGUUAAACAGUUCUACCAUUUCCUGUAAAGAGGAAAGCCUGGCGGAAGAAAGAUGGUGUGGACGAAAGACUGGAUGGUUUCAUGAUGGUUCGACUUUCACACAGGAAUUUGUCCACUGGUGCUUUUAGACUUAAUUUUGGCCUAAUUUUGCUUUGGGAAUGAAACUUGAAGCGAGGAUCAGGGGUUGGAUUUCAGAAGGAAAAGUUUGAUUUCUGACUGGAUGAGAGAACAGAGAACACGCUGAUGUGUUUCUGAUGGUCUGUUUGAAGUUCGUCUAAUCACCCACUGGACUAACAAAUAUGCUAAAAGGUCUCCCAGCAGGUUCAACUGUGACGCUAACAGAUGCUGACCGAGCACGUUGGCACUGAGACCACCCUGUUAGCACUGACUCUAGCUAAGGUUAGCAUCACACUUGAGAACCUUUACAAAAAGGCAAUAAAGUGGCACCAGACGACAAAAGAGAUGUUUGCACGUCUAGUUCUUACUUCUAAGAUUUUUUAAAUAAAGUCUGUGUUUAACAAAAGCUUUUGAUCAUCUGUAAUAGUAGAUGAAAAUUUGACAUGGAAAUCUCAUAUUGAGUAUAUUAGAAAGAAGAUGGUUAAAAACAUUUAUAUUUUGGGAAAUGUAAGAGAUUUAUUAGAUUAUAAAACAAUGCGCAUUUUAUAUUUUUCAUUGUUUUUCUCAUAUUUUAGUUACUGUAUUGAAGUUUGGGGGAAUACAUAUGAGAAUACUAUAAAACCUCUAAACUUAUUACAGAAGAAAGUGAUACGAAUGAUUCAUAAUGUUAAAUAUAGAGAACAUACAAAUAAAUUAUUU